AACCGGGCGAAGUCGGCCGUCGUGAGGGGUGUUUGGACAGGUUGUCGGGAGAAUUCUCUCGUUGACUGGCCGUGCGGGUCCGUCAGGACAGAGGUCGGAGGCGGAGCAGCGCCCGGGAGGGCAGGCGGUUGGGGCCGGGGGCGGGGCGGGAGGUGGGAGGGGCAGGGAGCCGGGCCGGCGGCGCUGUCACUUCAGCACCAGGAAGUAGGUGGUCCAACCGGCCAGCAGCAGCGCCCCGAUGAGCACCGUGUAGCUGAGGAGCACGAAAGCCAGCAGCUCUCGCAGUAGCUGCAGCACGUGGAUGGUGGACGAGGUCGGCAUCGCCCUACACGGGAGGCCCGAGGACCUGCGGAGUGGGGGCACGCAGGAGACCCUGAGCACGCCAAGAGGACGGUUCUCUCUCUAGACCAACCUCUGCUGGACACUAAGCAAGCGCUACCGAGUCCGGCACCGUUAGAGGCAGUGUGGACACGGGGCUAGACUAGGACCUCUAAAAAGUAAACACACCUUCCUAAGGCUAAGGAAGCCCAAAGUGCUGAUUUUCUCCCUAACAACCACGUGGACACUGUCUGUAUUUACAUUAUGUAGUUCUUUUAAACGGAACGUUCUCCUCAUUCUUUGGCUCCUGAUCUGGAUUUGAGCUCAGAGGAGGGAAGCCUGGAGAGGAGAGUUCCCAGUUCCCGCUGCUGCACUGGUCUUCAUCUCCAACCCUCUCCUCCCGUCCACCUCCUGCAUUUUUAAUGUUGCGAGUGUUGCUAAUGGGCUGAUGGAGUAAAGCUUGCUUUUUGCCAUCAUUCAAGCUGCAGUCCCAGCUGUCAGCGCUGCUUGGGAGAGGAAGAGAGAUCCUUUUGAGUAGGGGGAAAGCAGCGGGCCCUCGCUGCAGCCCUUCUGCAAUUUCUGUGGCCCCAAGGCUUAUCAGUUUUCAAGAGGACCGCUGCUUUGUGGCUAGGCGUGCUUGCCCUUCUGGCCAGCCAGGAUCGCAGGAGUGCCAAGAGGAGCUGACCUAACUAUGCUCAGAGCAAGAGAGUGGAGAGUCAUGAGUGAAUGCAGACACAUGAGACACAACUGAGCAUCUGUUCACAGGACAAAACCCCAGGCAAGGGGACUUGACUGGACUUGAAUUGAAUCCCAGGAGCCAAAAACACUGAUGGACAAGAUGCUGGGACGGAGCAGGAGGGAGAUUUCCAACUUCACUGCCAGCACCUUCUCACCUCCCUUCCACAGCCUAGCAGUCUCCUGGGAACGGUAGCAGCUGGAUGCCUGGAUCACCAACAAGCUGUACCGGAGGGGGGAUGACAUCACCAGACCAGGGAGCUGGGUGUUUCCUAGCAAAACAAACACUGGAGACCAUGUAAGGAGUGGCUGUAGACUGCUGGGGCAGCAGGUGUGGCACUUACCUGCGAGGGGGAGCUGCCAGAUGCUGAAGAAGCAAAGCUGUCAUUGCUCAAGGUGGGGGGGGGGGCGCGGGGAACCAGCUGGAUGGUGGGGCUCAGGAUGAGCAGGGAAGAAAACUGAAGGCAUCUACCACUGAAAUUUCUUAAGAGUUAAUAACACGUGCACUAAGAAUGCAUCUUCAAAUACAUUCUCAGAAAGAUGAGUCUUCCUCAAUGCAAAAAGCCCUUGAUAAGUCAGGGACCCACAACAAUUAAGCUGAUCACAGAGAGCAUAAACUCUGUCCUGGGGCAAGAAGCUCUUCCAAACCUUUGCUUUUUUAGAAGCAGAGGAAUCAAAAACAGAGGAACCAAAACUUGCCCUGACGACCGGGUAACAUAGAGACUGGUGACACUGGAUGUAAGGUGCCAUGUUCUACAGGAAAAAACAAUCUCAAACUCAGGGAUUUGAGAUACCAGCCUCAGGCCCCUAACACUGGGCCACUGCCCUAGGCAUGAUGCACCUCCAAGAAAUUCA